rnacentral:rRNA from 1 species
UGAGCAACCUGCCCUUGGCUUCGGGAUAACUCCGGGAAACCGGGGCUAAUACCGGAUGUGACGCGUCCGCGCAUGGGGGUGUGUGGAAAGAUUUAUUGGCCAGGGAUGGGCUCGCGGCCUAUCAGCUUGUUGGGUGGGGUGAUGGCCUACCAAGGCGACGACGGGUAGCCGGCCUGAGAGGGCGACCGGCCACACGUGGGACUGAGACACGGCCCAGACCUCCGUACGGGGAGCA